AUGUUAAAUAAUGCUAAUUGAUCAUAAUUAUACUCUAACAAAAAGUUCAUCCUGAGAUUGUUCCAGCAUUCUCAGAUCAUCAUCAAGAAGCCACAAACACCUACAAUGGGAUUGCAGGAUAGAGCGCACAGUUCUGACUCGCGUCUAUUUGCAGGAAUAUCUGCACACUCUUGCUACUUCUACUGCUUGGUAUUCCUGGAAUGCAGGCUUCUCCUGUUCCUUGGAAAGCCUACCAUGUUUUUCUUUCUACUUCAGAGUGUGGCUAGUGUUGGCUCAUGCAUAUCAGAAUAUGUUACUCGCCAUGCGUGUUGUCUUUUGCAACCGAAUCCAGAGCCAAAGUAGAGCUCGUGGUGGUUGUUUUUCGCGAGCGAAUCCACAGCCAACGUAGAGCUCCCACUUCCUGCAUCAGAUCAAGAUCCUCAGACAAAUAAAGGUUGAUAUCUGAAAAGAAUUUGGAAGAUAUUCACAUCUUAUGCUCA